UUGAAAUACAUUUCUUACAUACGGUUCCUUUAAGUGCUUUUUACAUGUUUCAGUGACACUUUCCCCAGUGUCCAGUAGGAUCCGAUAAUGUUUGGCGUGAUCCUGCAGAGUGGCAUUUCGAUACACCACUUCCUUCAUGGGGGUGAAUUAUUACGGUAUGAAAAGGAAUGCAGGGUUCCCAUAGCCCAGGUCAUGGAAUUUCUGUAAUAUCAUGGAAUUUUGGAAAGUCUAUUCCAGACAUGGAAAGUCAUUUGAUCAUUUUGGGGGCAAAUUCAUUGAAUAUCAGGAGAUUUUGUUAUAGCAGUUUAAAAUUUACUUGCGAUACAUUUAUACAAAUACAGUAUACUUCCACUCAGUUAUUAGCUUUACUGCUGAGUAGUUGUGUUUAGCCCAAGAUUCCUGAACGCUACGCAACUGUUCUGAAAGCUUUGCUCGGCAUAUUGUACCCUUCAUUAUAUAAUAGGUCAUGGAAAUUCUAUUUUUUGUCAGGGAAAAGUCAUGACAUUUUACAUUUCACUUGGAGUGGGAACCCUGGGAAUGAUCAGAUAUCAUGCAUCAUCCAUACAGAAAUAAAUUGUGAUAUUUUUGAGAAUCCAAGUUCACUGCAAUCCAUAUUUUCUUACUAAUUUGUUGUGCAGAGUGUGGGAAAUGAUACUUUUGCUUUGGGGCUUAACACUGGGUGAAAGGGCUCUGUAUCAGGGAAUAUUUAUAGUGAUAUGUUUCCUGAUAUGUGUAAUAUAUGGUCAUAUAUUGGUAGAUAUUUUGCGGACAUUUUGCCCCUCAACAGCCUCCUCCAUGGUGCAUGGACAUCUUUAGUAAACUCUUGGUGGAAUAAUAGUGAGCGAGGAUGAUUACUUUUGAAAUGGUCCAAAUGAUGAGAUGGUCAACUUUCACCCCAGGAAACUCUGGGUCGCUCAUAAGAAGCUUUGGAUGUCAAGGAAAGAAAAUCGUGUCAUCAUUGACAACAUCAAUAUGGAAUUUCAGUACAUGUAUCCUUAUGUUUUCAUGGACAGUCUGGGAUUUGAAUCCAUCUGGGAAAGUAUAUACUUGCAUAGCCUAUGUCUCUUAUGUCAGCCUUUAUAUCAAGGGGAAACCAUUUGUGUUUUUAUGUCACCAGGAAGCAUGUCAGUAGAAGUAGAGUUGAGUAGAGUAAACUCAUGUAUAUCUCCAGGUCAUUAACUCUUUAGGUGAGAACAACUUUUUAAUUUUGUAGUAUGAAAACUUAGAAUAUGCACCUCCCACUAAAAACAUCCUAGAAGGAUAAUAGUUAGGGAUAUAAAAAUGUAUUCAUUAUAAUUGAUUGUUAGGGGACUCAGGUAUAAUUUAAAAUGAAGUUUGAAAACCUGAGAUGACUGAUGUUAGCAGGCUAACAGCAUUUGUGCAAAAAAGGAUGUCUUAAUACGGGCAGGGCAGGUUGGUACACUGAUUUGGCACAUACAUUCCCGAUGGCUAUUUUGUGACAAAUGUAUAAACUGUGUAUUUUACACAUAAAAAACAUCAUCAA